UCCCAUGUUUUUGACAAACAUUUUAUUUAUGUCUAUUUUGCCCACACCUAUAAUAUUUUGGAAUAACAUUAGGGGUAUAUGGAUUUUUAUUAGAUGACACAUGAUAUGAAAGAUUUCCUCCACUUGAUGUAGUAAAUGCUUAAUUGUAUCGUCCUGAUUGAAUUAUUGGUGAGAGACUUGUUGAUCUACCUCUAUUUAGUUGAAGAUUAGAUUUUUGACUUCCAAAAUUUUGAAGUUUAUUUUUUCCUUGACCUCAUGCAUGUGUUUUGUAACUGAUCCCACCAAGUAGAAGCUCCACCUUAACCUCAUGCAAAGAGGUUAGGUUCUUUCUUUGACCUCGUGCGUGUGGUCUGUAAGUG
rnacentral:lncRNA from 1 species